AAUUAAACCUGAUGGGAGCGGAAAUAUUUUUGUGUGGUGUCAUCCUGGUCCCGAAGUAUCGGGAGAAGGAUUUUGUGUUAAUUGCAGGCGCUUCGAUAAACUCAGCAUGACAAAAAAGAGCAAUAACAUAAACACAAAAAAAUAAUAGCGUACAGCAGGACUAAUU
rnacentral:sRNA from 1 species